rnacentral:ncRNA from 18 species
AUAUUUUGUUAUCUCCGAGCCCAUCCGCCUACCAGGAACAUUCCCACGGCGGCCGGCCGACGGGUGUUGCUGGAAACGGCAGCGCCUCCCCUCUGGAAAGGAGAUUCCGGGCCACGUGC